UUGUAGAGCGAGUGAAACACAUUCAAGAGAAGCAAAACAACCGGAUACCAUGAGGAGCCUUCAAUUUUUUCUGCCCCUUUUUGUUGCAUGUUUUUGUGUUCUCUUUCUAUCUUUCCUUCUUUUCCUUUUGAAC
rnacentral:ribozyme from 11 species